rnacentral:rRNA from 1 species
UACGGAGGUUGCAAGCGUUAUCCGGAUUUAUUGGGUUUAAAGGGUGCGUAGGCGGGAUAAUAAGUCAGUGGUGAAAUCCUGCAGCUUAACUGUAGAACUGCCAUUGAUACUGUUAUUCUUGAGUGUACUUGAGGUGGGCGGAAUGUGUAGUGUAGCGGUGAAAUGCUUAGAUAUUACACAGAACACCAAUUGCGUAGGCAGCUCACUAAAUUACAACUGACGCUGAGGCACGAAAGCGUGGGGAGCAAACAGG